rnacentral:rRNA from 1 species
UACGUAGGGUGCAAGCGUUAAUCGGAAUUACUGGGCGUAAAGCGUGCGCAGGCGGUUCGCUAAGACAGAUGUGAAAUCCCCGGGCUUAACCUGGGAACUGCAUUUGUGACUGGCAGGCUAGAGUAUGGCAGAGGGGGGUAGAAUUCCACGUGUAGCAGUGAAAUGCGUAGAGAUGUGGAGGAAUACCGAUGGCGAAGGCAGCCCCCUGGGCCAAUACUGACGCUCAUGCACGAAAGCGUGGGGAGCAAACAGG